CAACAGCCUCCCAGAAACAGCAGCUUGCCCGUGACCCCGUGACACCAAGCUCCAAUAACCCUGCCGGGCCUUCCAAGCUUCAAGAGUCGUUGCCCUGAACUUGAUACAUAGAGCACAGCACCACGAAAAUGAAUCAUCUGUUAAGUCAGUAUUUUCUAAUUGCAAUCACUCUCCCUCUCAAGGCAUGUAAUUAAUUUACUGAGGUUUUUUUUUUUUUUAA
rnacentral:lncRNA from 1 species